rnacentral:lncRNA from 9 species
GAGGCUUGGUUGCCCUCUGGGUUAAAGGAGACGCUGGGUGCUCCGCCGCCUCCAGAUCCGCAGCCCCUUUUUUUGCUCCGGAGUGAUGUCCUGUCUCAGAAAGGUCCUGGGCAGUUUUUCACGUGGCCGGCUCUCCAGACAGUACACGCAGGUCCUCAAAAACUUCCCCCAGGCUUGCCCACUGGCACCCUGACCCUCUCCUGAAUUUCCCCUUGUUGGAGAUCAGUUUCCUCGUGUCUGUUUCCCUUCAACCUGCUUUUGUUCCACCUUUUUUGUUAUUGAUCAAGGAUAUGGGAUCAUCGAGAACUGACUGAGGACACUUUGGUCUCCUGAUACUGAGCUAACACAUCUUGCUGACAUGAAAUUGAGAAAUCUCAAGGCAACCUCCAGCACAUCAUGCUUACCAGGCAGAGCCAGAGAAGAUAGAAGGACACAGAAAAGGAGAACUGGAUUAGGUGUCAGAAGAGGUGGGUCCUAAUCUCAGCCCCUUUGUGCGACCUUAGACAAAUUCACGAACUUCUCUGGGCUUCCUGUCCACCGUCAUCUCUGGGACCUGUGAAUAUCCUACCUUCCAUGGCAAAAGGGACUGUACAGAUGUGAGUAAGGGUACCAACCUUAGGGUGAGGAGAGCAUCCUGCAUU